AGUGGCGAACGGGUGAUAACACGUUGGUGACCUGCCCUGAGGAGGGGAAUGGCCGUGGGAACCGGCUAAUACCCGGAUGUCUAAGCUGUUAGAGGGGCUUAGAACUAAAAGCCCCUUUGCAAGGGGGUUNNGCGCCUCGNGAGAAGGGNGGCCUUGCGGGCUAUCAGGCUUGUUGGUGGGGUAAUGGCUUACCAAGGCGAAGACGGCUAGGAGGAGCGUGAGAGCCCGCGAGCCACCGCCCAGCAAUGGAACUGAGACACGGGGGGUACUCCUACGGGAGGCAGCAGGUGAGGAAUAUUGCGCAAUGGGGGCAACCCUGACGCAGCAACGCCGCGUGGACGAUGAAGGCCUUCGGGUUGUAAAGUCCUUUUCUGGAGGAAGAUAGUGACGGUACUUCAGGAAUAAGUCCCGGCUAACUACGUGCCAGCAGCCGCGGGUAAAACGGUAGGGGGCGAGCGUUAUCCGGAUUUACUGGGCGUAAAGCGCACGUAGGCGGCAUCGUAAGUUGGACGUGAAAGCUCCCGGCUCAACUGGGAGAGGUCGUUCAAAACUGUGGUGCUUGAGGUUGAUAGAGGAGAGUGGAAUUCCCGGUGUAGUGGUGGAAUGCGUAGAUAUCGGGAGGAACACCAGUGGCGAAGGCGGCUCUCUAGGUCACACCUGACGCUGAGGUGCGAGAGCGUGGGGAGCGAACGGGAUU
rnacentral:rRNA from 1 species